AACACAUGAUGAGAGCACCUUCUCUAAAGAUCCUUAAAUCUCUCACAUGCAUCAUAUAAUGUAUCCAAAUCAAUUUGAGCAAAAUAAGGUGUUUCGUUUCUCAACUU
rnacentral:snoRNA from 1 species